UACGUAGGGUGCGAGCGUUAAUCGGAAUUACUGGGCGUAAAGCGUGCGCAGGCGGCUUUGCAAGACAGAUGUGAAAUCCCCGGGCUCAACCUGGGAACUGCAUUUGUGAUUGCAAGGCUAGAGUACGGCAGAGGGGGAUGGAAUUCCGCGUGUAGCAGUGAAAUGCGUAGAUAUGCGGAGGAACACCAAUGGCGAAGGCAAUCCCCUGGGCCUGUACUGACGCUCAUGCACGAAAGCGUGGGGAGCAAACAGG
rnacentral:rRNA from 1 species